rnacentral:lncRNA from 1 species
UCGCCUCCAAACUCCUCUCCUAGUUUUUUUCGUAUUAAUGUAGAUAUUGGUGUCUGUUGGAAUAGUUACUUUCACUGUAGCACUUAUACGAACCUCACCUCGCCUCGGUCCCUUCCCUCUUCUAUCAAAAGCCAACAAAAUUGGACAACACCACAAACGUAGCAGAAGGACAAAAAGCAAAUAUUUAAAAACAAAACACUAUACUACUAAAGAAGGCAGACACCUUUAAAAAAACAGUGGAAAAAGAGGCGAGAGGGGUAAAAGGAAAAGAAAAUUGGAGAGACGAAAGAAGAUGGCCGUG